rnacentral:rRNA from 1 species
AUUGAACGCUGGCGGCAGGCUUAACACAUGCAAGUCGAACGAGUGGCGGACGGGUGAGUAACGCCUGGGCAACUGCCUGUUGGAGGGGGAUAACCACUGGAAACCGUCUCCAAUUACGCAUACUCUCUUAUGUGCCUAGAUGGGAUUGGCUAGUAGGUGGGGUAAAGGCUCACCUGGGCGACGACCCCCAGCUGGUCUGAGAGGCUGACCGGCAACACGGGAACGGAGACACGGUCCGGACUCCUAGGGGAGGCAGCAGUGGGGAAUAUUGGAAAAUGGGCGAAAGCCUGAUGAGGCACUGCGGCGUGUAUGAAGAGGGCCUUCGGGUUGAAAGGUACUUUCAGCGGGGCGACGGUACCCGAAGAAGAAGCACCGGCUAACUCCGUGCCAGCAGCCGCGGUAAUUC